UACGUAGGGUGCAAGCGUUGUCCGGAAUUAUUGGGCGUAAAGAGCUCGUAGGCGGUUUGUCGCGUCGGCUGUGAAAUCCCGAGGCUCAACCUCGGGUCUGCAGUCGAUACGGGCAAACUAGAGUAUUGCAGGGGAGACUGGAAUUCCUGGUGUAGCGGUGAAAUGCGCAGAUAUCAGGAGGAACACCGGUGGCGAAGGCGGGUCUCUGGGCAAUAACUGACGCUGAGGAGCGAAAGCGUGGGGAGCGAACAGG
rnacentral:rRNA from 1 species